CAAGUCGAGCGGAUGAAGAGAGCUUGCUCUCUGAUUCAGCGGCGGACGGGUGAGUAAUGCCUAGGAAUCUGCCUGAUAGUGGGGGACAACGUUUCGAAAGGAACGCUAAUACCGCAUACGUCCUACGGGAGAAAGCAGGGGACCUUCGGGCCUUGCGCUAUCAGAUGAGCCUAGGUCGGAUUAGCUAGUUGGUGAGGUAACGGCUCACCAAGGCGACGAUCCGUAACUGGUCUGAGAGGAUGAUCAGUCACACUGGAACUGAGACACGGUCCAGACUCCUACGGGAGGCAGCAGUGGGGAAUAUUGGACAAUGGGCGAAAGCCUGAUCCAGCCAUGCCGCGUGUGUGAAGAAGGUCUUCGGAUUGUAAAGCACUUUAAGUUGGGAGGAAGGGCAUUAACCUAAUACGUUAGUGUUUUGACGUUACCGACAGAAUAAGCACCGGCUAACUUCGUGCCAGCAGCCGCGGUAAUACGAAGGGUGCAAGCGUUAAUCGGAAUUACUGGGCGUAAAGCGCGCGUAGGUGGU
rnacentral:rRNA from 1 species